rnacentral:pre_miRNA from 1 species
AAUGACAUGUCUCCGUCCAGAAUUACUUGUCUUAGAUUUGUAUCUAAACACGUUUUAGUGUUAGAUACAUCCGNNUCUAGACAAAUCUAAGACAAAUAAUUUGGGACGGAGACAUGUCUAG